AGAGUUUGAUCAUGGCUCAGAUUGAACGCUGGCGGCAUGCCUUACACAUGCAAGUCGAACGGUAACAGGUCUUCGGAUGCUGACGAGUGGCGAACGGGUGAGUAAUGUAUCGGAACGUGCCCAGUCGUGGGGGAUAACUGCUCGAAAGAGCAGCUAAUACCGCAUACGACCUGAGGGUGAAAGCGGGGGAUCGCAAGACCUCGCGCGAUUGGAGCGGCCGAUAUCAGAUUAGGUAGUUGGUGGGGUAAAGGCCUACCAAGCCUGCGAUCUGUAGC
rnacentral:rRNA from 1 species